GGGUUGUGAGGUUAAGCGACUAAGCGUACACGGUGGAUGCCCUGGCAGUCAGAGGCGAUGAAGGGCGUGCUAAUCUGCGAUAAGCGCCGGUAAGGUGAUAUGAACCGUUAUAACCGGCGAUACCCGAAUGGGGAAACCCAGUGUGACUCGUCACACUAUCAUUAACUGAAUCCAUAGGUUAAUGAGGCGAACCGGGGGAACUGAAACAUCUAAGUACCCCGAGGAAAAGAAAUCAACCGAGAUUCCCCCAGUAGCGGCGAGCGAACGGGGAGGAGCCCAGAGCCUGAAUCAGCAUGUGUGUUAGUGGAAGCGUCUGGAAAGGCGCGCGAUACAGGGUGACAGCCCCGUACACAAAAGCGCAUGUGCUGUGAGCUCGAUGAGUAGGGCGGGACACGUGGUAUCCUGUCUGAAUAUGGGGGGACCAUCCUCCAAGGCUAAAUACUCCUGACUGACCGAUAGUGAACCAGUACCGUGAGGGAAAGGCGAAAAGAACCCCGGCGAGGGGAGUGAAAAAGAACCUGAAACCGUGUACGUACAAGCAGUGGGAGCACCCUUUGGGUGUGACUGCGUACCUUUUGUAUAAUGGGUCAGCGACUUAUAUUCUGUAGCAAGGUUAACCGAAUAGGGGAGCCGGAGGGAAACCGAGUCUUAAUUGGGCGUUAAGUUGCAGGGUAUAGACCCGAAACCCGGUGAUCUAGCCAUGGGCAGGUUGAAGGUUGGGUAACACUAACUGGAGGACCGAACCGACUAAUGUUGAAAAAUUAGCGGAUGACCUGUGGCUGGGGGUGAAAGGCCAAUCAAACCGGGAGAUAGCUGGUUCUCCCCGAAAGCUAUUUAGGUAGCGCCUCGUGAAUUCAUCUCCGGGGGUAGAGCA
rnacentral:rRNA from 1 species